AUCAGUUUGGAAUCCAUGCUCUCUUGCUUUCCUUUCAUCAUCUGGACGUCAGUCAGUAACUUGGUUACAUUGUCUUGACGAACCUUUAUAUCCUCAUUCUUUAUACUGGAGACCUGGAGACAGAAAGGAAGAGGACACGUGUGAACUCCAGGCA